rnacentral:misc_RNA from 1 species
GAUUUUUCCAAUUGCCAAACUGGUACAAGGUACAAAUAAAUGGCCAACAUACAGCCCAAUGAUAAAAUUAAAUACAACCUAGAUGGACUGAUGAGCACAAUUGUUUCGCAGCACGGUUACGUAACCCUUACACAAGUUGUCACAAGGAUGGAAUGCCAAGUUCCAAUUAAACUGUAGCAUGAACAUAGUGGCAAAAUGAAAAGACUGGAACUGGAUUUCAAAGAAAAAAAUAAUAAUUCUAACCCUUCUAAUAAAAAGUACUUAGUGCUGUGAUUCUCCUAUCCGAAGGGAAUCAUCUGUUCUUGGCUGAUUUUGAAUGUGGUAGAGUUCCAAACACUUUGUCCCAGAAGGAAGAGGUGAUACCAAAACCUUUGUUCUGGAUACGAAAAUGAUGAUUCAAGUGAUAUUUCUUG